rnacentral:rRNA from 1 species
GAAAGUAAGCAAGGGCAGACGGUGGAUGCCUUGGCUCUCGGAGGCGACGAAGGACGUGAUAAGCUGCGAAAAGCUCGGGGGAGGCGCAAAUAGCCGUUGAUCCCGGGAUAUCCGAAUGGGGCAACCCGGCAGGCUGAAGGCCUGCCAUCCCGUAAGGGAGGCGAACGUGGGGAACUGAAACAUCUAAGUACCCAUAGGAGGAGAAAAUAAACAAUGAUUCCGUAAGUAGUGGCGAGCGAACACGGAAGAGCCCAAACCCAUGUCGUCUAGGCGACACGGGGGUUGUAGGACCACGACGUGGCAAGAGGAUGUCAAGUGGAACGCCUUGGAAAGGGCGACCGUAGAGGGUGAUAGUCCCGUACACGACUGACGAUUGAAGCCUAGUGGCAUCCUGAGUAGCGCGGGGCACGAGAAAUCUUGCGUGAAACUGCGGGGCCCAUCCCGUAAGGCUAAAUACUCCCGAGAGACCGAUAGCGAACCAGUACCGUGAGGGAAAGGUGAAAAGAACCCCGAGCAGGGGAGUGAAAUAGACCCUGAACCCGUCUGCCUACAAGCGGUCGGAGCAUCGUCAAGAUGUGACGGCGUGCCUUUUGCAUAAUGAACCUACGAGUUACCUUCCCCGGCAAGGUUAAGUACCUAAGGUACGGAGCCGAAGCGAAAGCGAGUCUGAAGAGGGCGGCCAGUCGGGGGGGGUAGACGCGAAACCGAGUGAUCUACCCUUGGCCAGGUUGAAGGUUGGGUAACACCAACUGGAGGACCGGAUGGGUAAGCGUUGAAAAGCUUUCCAAUGAGCUGAGGGUAGGGGUGAAAGGCUAAUCAAACUCGGAGAUAGCUCGUACUCCCCGAAAUGCAUUUAGGUGCAGCCUCUUUAUAGUAUAUCGUGAGGUAGAGCGACUGAUUGGAUGCGAGGGCUUCACCGCCUAUCAAGUCCAGAUAAACUCCGAAUGCGCGAUAUAUAUUUAAAGGGAGUGAGGGCGCGGGUGCUAAGGUCCGUGUCCGAGAGGAGAAGAAUCCAGACCACCGGCUAAGGCCCCCAAAUGAUCGUUAAGUUGAACUAACGAGGUCGGAUCGCAGAGACAGCUAGGAUGUUGGCUUGGAAGCAGCCAUUCAUUUAAAGAGUGCGUAACAGCUCACUAGUCGAGCGAUCUGGCGUGGAUAAUAAUCGGGCAUAAACGAUCUGCCGAAGCCGUGGAUGUCGUAAGACAUGGUAGGGGAGCAUUCCAUGCGGCGUCGAAGAUGAGGGAUGACCCUUGUUGGAGCGCAUGGAAAAGCAAAUGUAGGUAUGAGUAACGAUAAGGGGGGCGAGAAACCCCCCCGCCGAAAGACCAAGGUUUCCUGAUCAACGCUAAUCGGAUCAGGGUGAGUCGGGACCUAAGGCAAAGCCGAACGGCGCCGCCGAUGGAAGAAUGGGUUAAUAUUCCCAUACUGCCUCAUGGAGUGACGUGGAGACGGAGAAGUGACAGUCCUGCCGGCUGACGGAAUAGCCGGUUGAAGGGUGUAGAUAUUGAUUCCCGUAGGCAAAUCCGCGGGGAGAGUCGAACCUGAGAGUAUACCGAGUACUUGUACGAGGUAAUAUGGACGUAACCAUGCUCCCAAGAAAAUCCGCUAAACUUAUCCAUGCGGCACCCGUACCGUAAACGGACACACGUGGUCGGGUUGAGAAUACUGAGGCGCUCGAGUGAUUCACGGUUAAGGAACUAGGCAAAUUGACCCUGUAACUUCGGGAUAAAGGGUCCUCGUCGUAAGGCGAGGCGCAGAGAAUAGGUCCAGGCAACUGUUUAACAAAAACACAUGGCUAUGCUAAAUGGAAACAUGACGUAUAUAGCCUGACACCUGCCCGGUGCUGGAAGGUUAAGAGGAGAUGUCAUCGCAAGAGAAGCGUUGAAUUGAAGCCCCAGUAAACGGCGGCCGUAACUAUAACGGUCCUAAGGUAGCGAAAUUCCUUGUC